GUGGGGAAUAUUGGACAAUGGGCGAAAGCCUGAUCCAGCCAUGUCGCGUGUGUGAAGAAGGUCUUCGGAUUGUAAAGCACUUUAAGUUGGGAGGAAGGGCAGUAAGUUAAUACCUUGCUGUUUUGACGUUACCGACAGAAUAAGCACCGGCUAACUUCGUGCCAGCAGCCGCGGUAAUACGAAGGGUGCAAGCGUUAAUCGGAAUUACUGGGCGUAAAGCGCGCGUAGGUGGUUUUGUAAGUUGGAGGUGAAAUCCCCGGGCUCAACCUGGGAACUGCCUCCAAAACUGCAUGACUAGAGUACGGUAGAGGGUAGUGGAAUUUCCUGUGUAGCGGUGAAAUGCGUAGAUAUAGGAAGGAACACCAGUGGCGAAGGCGACUACCUGGACUGAUACUGACACUGAGGUGCGAAAGCGUGGGGAGCAAACAGGAUUAGAUACCCGGGUAGUCC
rnacentral:rRNA from 1 species